GACAAUGAGGUGGAAAAGCGUGGGGUAGCAAAACAGGAUUAGAUACCCCUGGUAGUCCACGCCGUAAACGAUGUAUACUAGUCGUUGGGUCCCUUGAGGACUUAGUGACGCAGCUAACGCAAUAAGUAGACCGCCUGGGGAGUACGGCCGCAAGGUUAAAACUCAAAUGAAUUGACGGGGGCCCGCACAAGCGGUGGAGCAUGUGGUUUAAUUUGAUGCAACGCGAAGAACCUUACCUGGUCUUGACAUAUCUAGAAUCCUGCAGAGAUGCGGGAGUGCCUUCGGGAAUUAGAAUACAGGUGCUGCAUGGCUGUCGUCAGCUCGUGUCGUGAGAUGUUGGGUUAAGUCCCGCAACGAGCGCAACCCUUGUCCUUAGUUACCAGCGGGUUAAGCCGGGAACUCUAAGGAUACUGCCAGUGACAAACUGGAGGAAGGCGGGGACGACGUCAAGUCAUCAUGGCCCUUACGACCAGGGCUACACACGUGCUACAAUGGUAGGUACAGAGGGCAGCUACACAGCGAUGUGAUGCGAAUCUUUCAAAGCCUAUCGUAGUCCAGAUUGGAGUCUGCAACUCGACUCCAUGAAGUAGGAAUCGCUAGUAAUCGCGGAUCAGAAUGCCGCGGUGAAUACGUUCCCGGGCCUUGUACACACCGCCCGUCACACCAUGGGAGUUGAUUGCACCAGAAGUGGUUAGCC
rnacentral:rRNA from 1 species